rnacentral:tRNA from 1 species
GCCUCCGUAGCUCAGUGGAUAGAGCAACAGACUUCUAAUCUGUCGGCCGUUGGUUCGAAUCCAACCGGGGGCA